rnacentral:rRNA from 1 species
AUUGAACGCUGGCGGCAGGCUUAACACAUGCAAGUCGAGCGAGCGGCGGACGGGUGAGUAAUGUCUGGGAAACUGCCUGCUGGAGGGGGGUCACUACUGGAAACGGUAGCUAAUACCGCAUACCAUCAGAUGUGCCCAGAUGGGAUGAGCUAGUAGGUGGGGGAAUGGCUCACCUAGGCGACGAUCCCUAGCUGGUCUGAGAGGAUGACCAGCCACACUGGAACUGAGACACGGUCCAGACUCCUACGGGAGGCAGCAGUGGGGAAUAUUGCACAAUGGGCGCAAGCCUGAUGCAGCCAUGCCGCGUGUGUGAAGAAGGCCUUCGGGUUGUAAAGCACUUUCAGCGAGGAGGCGUUACUCGCAGAAGAAGCACCGGCUAACUCCGUGCCAGCCGCCGCGGUAAUAC